rnacentral:rRNA from 1 species
GUGAGGAAUAUUGCGCAAUGGACGAAAGUCUGACGCAGCCAUGCCGCGUGAAGGAUUGACGGCCCUAUGGGUUGUAAACUUCUUUUGUAUAGGAAUAAACCCUCGUUCGUGAACGAGGCUGAAGGUACUAUAAGAAUAAGCACCGGCUAACUCCGUGCCAGCAGCCGCGGUAAUAGGGAGGGUGCAAGCGUUAUCCGGAUUUAUUGGGUUUAAAGGGUCCGUAGGCGGAUCGUUAAGUCAGUGGUGAAAUCCUACCGCUCAACGGUAGAACUGCCAUUGAUACUGGCGAUCUUGAGUAUGUAUGAAGUUGGCGGAAUGUGUGGUGUAGCGGUGAAAUGCUUAGAUAUCACACAGAACACCGAUUGCGAAGGCAGCUGACUAAUACACAACUGACGCUGAGGGACGAAAGUGUGGGGAUCAAACAGGAUUAGAUACCCUGGUAGUCC